ACAUACAAAUGUUAAGUUCUGUCUUCCUUUCCCACCAGGGAAGGGGAAAAAAAGAAUGAAUAGAAUGACGAUAUAUUAGAUACUAGCUGUGCCCGGCCUCGCGUUGCUGUGGCAAAGUAUGAUGGUAUGGGAAAUAAAGUAUUGAGGAAUUGGUGGUAGUUAAGGUAAAGGGUAAAAGUUUUCCCCUGAUAUUAAGCCCCCUUCUAUGAGCCCCCUUCUACACAGCUGGAUAAAAUGCACAGUGAAGUGGAUUAUACAGCAGUGUGGAGUCAAGAUAAUCCAGUUGAAAGCAGAUAAUAUAAGAUUAUAAAUGGGUUAUAUAGCUGUGUGGAAGGGCCUUGAGUCUACACUGCCAUAUAAUCCAGUUCAAAUCAGAUAAUCUGUAUUUUAUAGGUAAUGUGGAAGAGGCCUAAGUGAGGCCUAUCUCUGCCUGUCCCUGGGGUGAGUGGGUUGCUAGGAGACCAAGUGGGCGGAGCUUAGCCUUGUAACUGGCAGCAAUUGGAUGAAAGGAAUUCCUCUCCCUCUAAUUAGGACUUUAUUUUUCUUUUCUUUUUGUUGUAUGAAGGUAGAGGCAUGGAUGAGGGGUUGUGCUGCCAAGUUUAGUGUUUCUGGGAUGUGUAGUUUUGUUGUAUGAACGUAGAGGCAUGGAUGAGGGGUUGUGCUGCCAAGUUUAGUGUUUCUGGGAUAUGUAGUUUUGUUGUUUUGUCCUAGGCCCGAAAUUUCAUUACCCUUAUAUAUAUACAGUAGAGUCUCACUUAUCCAACACUCGCUUAUGCAACAUUCUGGAUUAUCCAACACAUUUUUGUAGUCAAUGUUUUCAAUAUAUCGUGAUAUUUUGGUGCUAAAUUCAUAAAUAUAGUAAUUACUAUGUAGCAUUACUGCGCAUUGAACUACUUUUUCUGCCAAAUUGGUUGUCUAACAUGAUGUUUUGGUGUUUCAUUUGUAAAAUCAUAACCUCCUUAUUAUCUAACAUAUUUGCUUAUCCAACAUUCUGCCAGCC
rnacentral:lncRNA from 1 species